GUGUCAGCAGCCGCGGUAAGACGAACCGUCCGAACGUUAUUCGGAAUCACUGGGCUUAAAGAGUGCGUAGGCGGCUUAUCAGGCGGGAUGUGAAAUCCCUCGGCCCAACCGAGGAACUGCGUUCCGAACCGAUAGGCUUGAGGAGGAUAGAGGCGAGCGGAACUGAUGGUGGAGCGGUGAAAUGCGUUGAUAUCAUCAGGAACACCUGUGGCGAAAGCGGCUCGCUGGGUCCUUACUGACGCUGAGGCACGAAAGCCAGGGGAGCGAACGGGAUUAGAUACCCCCGUAGUCC
rnacentral:rRNA from 1 species